AAAAGUUACAAAGGGCGUACGGCGGAUGCCUAGGCUCUCAGAGGCGAUGAAGGACGUGAUAAGCUGCGAUAAGCUGCGGGGAUUGGCACAUACGAUUUGAUCCGCAGAUUUCCGAAUGGGGCAACCCGUCAGGUUGAAGGCCUGACACCUAUUUAUAGGGGCGAACGUGGGGAACUGAAACAUCUAAGUACCCAUAGGAAAAGAAAUCAAUUGAGAUUCCGCAAGUAGUGGCGAGCGAACGCGGAUUAGCCCUAAAGAUUAUAUAAGUUUAACAGAAUAACCUGGAAAGGUUAACCGUAGAAGGUGAUAGUCCUGUACGUGAAAGGCUUAUAUGAUUGAUAACGAGUAAGGCGGGACACGAGAAAUCCUGUUUGAAUAUGGGGGGACCAUCCUCCAAGGCUAAAUACUCCUGAGAGACCGAUAGUGAACUAGUACUGUGAAGGAAAGGUGAAAAGUAUAUCUAGAAGAUAGUUGAAAUAGAACCUGAAACCGUACGCCUACAAGCGGUCGGAGCACAUAAAGUGUGACGGCGUGCCUUUUGCAUAAUGAGCCUACGAGUUAAUGUUUCUGGCAAGGUUAAGCACUUCAGGUGCGCAGCCGUAGCGAAAGCGAGUCUGAAUAGGGCGUAUAGUCAGAAGUAUUAGACGCGAAACCUUGUGAUCUACCCAUGGGCAGGUUGAAGCUUUGGUAACACAAAGUGGAGGACCGAACCGGUUGACGUUGAAAAGUCUUCGGAUGACCUGUGGGUAGGGGUGAAAGGCCAAUCAAACUGGGAAAUAGCUCGUACUCCCCGAAAUGCAUUUAGGUGCAGCGUUUAGUAAAGUAUAUUAGAGGUAGAGCUACUGAUUGGAUGCGGGGGCUUCACCGCCUACCAAUUCCUGAUAAACUCCGAAUGCUAAUAUAUGUUUCUAGGCAGUGAGGGCAUGGGUGCUAAGGUCCAUGUCCGAGAGGGAAAGAACCCAGACCAUCAGCUAAGGUCCCCAAAUGUAUGCUAAGUUGAAAAAACGCGGUUGGAUUGCACAGACAGCUAGGAUGUUAGCUUGGAAGCAGCUAUUCAUUUAACGAGUGCGUAACAGCUCACUAGUCGAGCGAUCCGGCAUGGAUAAUAAUCGGGCAUAAGCAUACUACCGAAGCUAUGGAUUACAUCGUAAGAUGUACUGGUAGGGGAGCAUUCUAUCGGCGCUGAAGCAGAUUUGUAAAGAUUUGUGGAGCUUAUAGAAAAGAAAAUGUAGGCAUGAGUAACGAUAAAAUCAGUGAGAAACUGAUUCGCCGUAAGAUCAAGGUUUCCUAAGCUAUGCUAAUCAGCUUAGGGUUAGUCGGGUCCUAACAUGUACCCUUUGGGGGAAGUGGAUGGCAAACGGGUUAAUAUUCCCGUACCUGCUCUCAACAAAAGUGACGAAUGAAUGUAUUAGGUGCGUACUGACGGAAUAGUACGUUGAACCUACGUAAAGUAGGGAUAGUACACUAAGGCUUCGGCUGGCGUGAUAAUCCUAAGAAGUUUGUUCCAAGAAAUAGCGAGAGAAGCAGCCCGUACCGUAAACCGACACAGGUGAUCGAGGAGAGUAUCCUCAGGCGCUCGAGUGAGUCGUGGUUAAGGAAUUAGGCAAAAUCGACCUGUAACUUCGGGAGAAAGGUCGCUCCGCUCCGGCGGAGCCUCAGUAAAAAGGCCCAGGCGACUGUUUAUCAAAAACACAGAGCUUUGCAAAAUCGAAAGAUGACGUAUAAGGCUUGACACCUGCCCGGUGCUGGAAGGUUAAGGAAGGAAGUUAGGGUAACCGAAGCUUUUGACUGAAGCCCCAGUAAACGGCGGCCGUAACUAUAACGGUCCUAAGGUAGCGAAAUUCCUUGUCGGGUAAGUUCCGACCUGCACGAAUGGUGUAACGAUCUGGGCACUGUCUCAACCACGAGCUCGGUGAAAUUGUAGUAUCGGUGAAGAUGCCGGUUAAUCGCAACGGGACGAAAAGACCCUGUGAACCUUUACUAUAGCUUCGUAUUGACUUUGGGUAAAUAAUGUGUAGGAUAGGUGGGAGACUAUGAAUUAGCAUCGCUAGGUGUUAAGGAGUCGUUGUUGAAAUACCACCCUUUAUUUAUCUGAAGCCUAACUCCAGUUGGAGGACAUUGCGUGGUGGGUAGUUUGACUGGGGUGGUCGCCUCCAAAAGAGUAACGGAGGCUUUCAAAGGUACCCUCAGCACGCUUGGUAACCGUGCGUAGAGUAUAAUGGCAUAAGGGUGCUUGACUGUGAGACCAACAAGUCGAUCAGGUGCGAAAGCAGGACAUAGUGAUCCGGUGGUUCCGUAUGGAAGGGCCAUCGCUCAAAGGAUAAAAGGUACUCCGGGGAUAACAGGCUAGUCUCCCCCAAGAGCUCACAUCGACGGGGAGGUUCGGCACCUCGAUGUCGGCUCGUCACAUCCUGGGGCUGGAGAAGGUCCCAAGGGUUGGGCUGUUCGCCCAUUAAAGUGGCACGCGAGCUGGGUUCAGAACGUCGUGAGACAGUUCGGUCUCUAUCUGUUGUGAUCGUUAGAAGUUUGAGCGGACUUGACUCUAGUACGAGAGGACCGUGUUGAACAAACCUCUGGUGUAUCAGUUGUACCGCCCGGUGCACUGCUGAGUAGCUACGUUUGGAUGAGAUAAGCACUGAAAGCAUAUAAGUGCGAAACUCGCCGCAAGAUAAGACUUCUUUAAAGGGUCGUGGAAGACUACCACGUUGAUAGGCUAUAGAUGUAAAGGCAGCGAUGCCAAAGUCGAGUAGUACUAAUUACCCAUAGACUUUUUUUAA
rnacentral:rRNA from 1 species